GAUGAACGCUGGCGGCGCGCCUAACACAUGCAAGUCGAACGGCACCCCUCCUCGGAGGGAAGCGAGUGGCGAACGGCUGAGUAACACGUGGAGAACCUGCCCCCUCCCCCGGGAUAGCCGCCCGAAAGGACGGAUAAUACCGGAUACCCCGGGGUGCCGCAUGGCACCCCGGCUAAAGCCCCGACGGGAGGGGAUGGCUCCGCGGCCCAUCAGGUAGACGGCGGGGUGACGGCCCACCGUGCCGACAACGGGUAGCCGGGUUGAGAGACCGACCGGCCAGAUUGGGACUGAGACACGGCCCAGACUCCUACGGGAGGCAGCAGUGGGGAAUCUUGCGCAAUGGGGGGAACCCUGACGCAGCGACGCCGCGUGCGGGACGGAGGCCUUCGGGGCGGAAACCGCUUUCAGCAGGGAAGAGUCAAGACUGUACCUGCAGAAGAAGCCCCGGCUAACUACGUG
rnacentral:rRNA from 1 species